ACAGAGCUCACCUUUGGCAGGGAAAGUGGGCCAAAUGGGCCAGGCGUGGUGGCUCACACCUGUAAUCCAAGCACUUUGGAGGCCAAGGCAGGCAGAUCACCUGAGGUCGGGAGUUCAAGACCAGCCUGACCAACAUGGUGAAACCCCAUCUUUAAAAAAAAAAAACAAUAACAGUGGUUCAAAUAAUUGGCAGCCAAUAAUUUAAAAUAAUCACAGUGACAUGAAGCCAGGAGGAAAGGAGACUAAGCUUUGGAACAGAGUUUUCCAAGGUGGAAAAAUCCAAAGUUGAAGAGAAAAGUGGAAAAGCAGCUGCAGGGAAGCCGUGAGGGAGGCAGCUAAAAGCAGCCGUCUAAGCAGCGCUGCCGAGUCACACUGCAGUGCCAGCCACAUCCUGGCCACAGUAUCGGUUUCACUCUCACACUGAGUUGUAGAGGGUGGAAGCUUUGGGGGUGUUAUAGAUCCACCUGGGCCACACUCAAGCCUGCCCCGGAGUUUCUUCAGUAGCGGAAACAUCUAUGGAAGUUCAGGCCACUUGUCAUUUCCAUCAUCCCAUGAUUGAAGAUGGAGUUUUGCUCUGUCGCCCCGGCUUGAGUACAGUGGCACCAUCUCGGCUCACUGCAACCUCUGCCUCCAGGGUUCAAGCAAUUCUCCCACCUCAGCCUCCUAACUGAGAUUACAGCCACUGUGGCUAGUGGCUACUCUAUUGGACAGUGCAGCUUUGACUGAUUCCCAACCCAGCCACCCACCUUCCAACCCAGAACUGGAAGGAGAGACCGUGUGAGCAUGCUGAGCAUCCAGUGGCUGAAAGGUCGACUGGAGGGCCGAAGCCCCUGCGAAUGAGGACAGAGAAUGGCCAAGGCUAGAGCCACAAGGCAAACAACCUUUGCACCUUGGGAAGAGAGAUUUGGAGACUGAAGCUGCCUGGGCCCCUCUGCCCCCCAAACUGCAGGGGUGCCAUGGCCCUGGCCUCUUGCUUUCAGAGGGCCAUCGAGUCAAUGUCACAGAAAGGGGAAGAGACAUGUGCCCACAGACCCUCUGGUCAUGGAGGGGGCAGAGGUCUCUGGAGGGCAGCAGGGCCACAGCAAGGCUCUGGGGUUCUGAGUCUUCUUCCGUGGAUUUCAUCUCUGCGUGUUGUAGCUGCUCUGUGCCUGGGUCCAGGCUCUAGUGAGAAAUAAACUGCCUUCGGAGCCAUGUGACAGCAAAAGAAAUUUUAUCCCCAUUUUCUAGGGGACAGAAACAGAGCUCAGUGGUGCUUAGCAUGUUUCUGGCAAGGGUAGUGGAAAGACCACUUCCUUUUGGGUAAGUUUUUCAAAUAAGAAAAAUGAACGCAACUCCUGGACAUUGCUCCACCUGGACCUAGGACAGGGCCUGACAUUCCAGGGACUCCCAGGCUGGGUUUUCCACCAGAGCAGUCUUGGGGGCAGGAGCCUGUAAAUGCAGAUUCCCUAGGGCCCUGUAGGCGGUCUGGAUAGUACCUCCAGCACAGCUGCUUAAGGGGAGGCAGCCCAGCCCUCACCUGGGAGAGCUGUGCUGAUGCUGACUGCACACUGGGGCUCCUGGGGUUGAGUGGACAGGAUUCCCCGGGAGAGAUGGGCCCCAGCAGCCAGAGCACACUGUGGGUGUCAAGCUGCUAGUGAGAAGUAGGCUGUUCCCUGAGACCAUGACAGGUUGAGAGUGGGAAUCACCACCCCCCACACUCACCAAGGAAUGCUUUUGCUACAUGCUGGGGCUUUUUCUUUUCUUUGAGCCAGUCUCGCUAUGUCACCCAGGCCGGAGUGCAGUGGCGCAAUCUAGGAUCACUGCAACCUCCGCCUCCCAGGUUCAAGUGAUUCGCCUGCCUCAGCCUCCCAAGUUGCAGGGAGGUGCCCACCACCACACCCGGCUAAUGUGCUGGGGCUUUUCUAAGAACAAAAGUACAUAGGAGGGCAAGGCAGGAUUCUGGAGAGGCACAGACACUGAAAGCCAGGGGCACACAGGAGCCUAGCCACCAGGGUGGCACAGGGCAUCCAUGCAGACCCUCAGGUCUCAUGUGAGGGCUGAAUCAAGGUCAGUGCCAUUGGGAAGCAGAGGGAAGCAUGUGACCACCUCUCUGAAGCCACCUUUGUGGACAAAUGACAUACGAACUCAAGAAAAUGCAGGCUUGGCUAGGCAGUGGUUCACGCCUGCGAUCCCAGCACUUUGGGAGGAUCACUUGAGCCCAGGAGUUAGAGACCAGUCUGGACAACAUAGCACGACCUUGCCUCUACAAAAAAUAAAAAAAUUGGCUGGGCAGGGUGGGACGUGCCUAUAGCUUCUGCUACCUGGGAGGCUGAGGUGGGAGGAUCCCUUAAGCCCAGGAGUUUAAGGCUGCACUGAGUUAUGAUCAUACCACUGCCCUCGAGCAUGGGGAACAGAGACUGACCCUGUCUCAAAAAAAAAAAAAGAAAAACAGCUGGCCAGGCUCGGGGGCUCAUGUCUAUAAUCCCAGCACUUCAGGAGGCUGAGGUGGGCAGACUGCCUGAGGUCAGGAGUUCGAAACCAGCCUGGCCAACAUCAAGGUGAAACCCCAUCUCUACUGAAAAUACAAAAAAUUAGCUGGGCAUUGUGGCGCACACCUGUAAUCCCAGCUACUCCAAAGGCUAAGCAGGAAAAUCGCCUGAA